GAUGAAAACGUAGCGAAACGCGAUAAGUAAUGCGAAUUGCAGAAUUUCCGUGAGUCAUCGAAUCUUUGAACGCACAUUGCGCCCACUGGUAUUCCGGUGGGCAUGCCUGUUCGAGCGUCAUUAUCCUCCCUCAAACCCCGGGUUUGGUGUUGGACCCAAGUUGUGUGAACAACUGGUCUUAAAGACAAUGACGGCGUCCGUGGGACCCUCGGUGCAACGAGCUUUUAGGAGCACGCAUCGAGUUGCAAGGACCUUCCGGGCCGGUCUCCUUUACUAUUUUACAAGGUUGACCUCGGAUCAGGUAGGAAUACCCGCUGAACUUAAGCAUAUCAAUAAGCGGAGGA
rnacentral:misc_RNA from 1 species